rnacentral:lncRNA from 1 species
UUAAAAAUAAGUAUUUGUCUUUUGAUAGAGUUGAUAAAAAGGAUACAAUUUAUCAAGAUAUCGGCGCAUCAUGUGCUACAGAGUACAAUGGCUACUAGUUCAAAUAUUUUGUGGCUAUUUGUGCAAAACAAACUCUUAUGAGGUAUAUAAACUUCCUGAAAGAAAUUGUAAGUAUAGUGAUAUUAGCUUAAUUAUAUUAUUGUAAAGUUUACUGUCAUUAUAAUACGCAUUGUGUUAACUUCUAUAUUGCCUACAUAUAUAUAUAUAUAAAACGUCUGAAUAAUAGUCAACGAUUUUCCACUGGGAGCUGGAUCGUUACAAUAACGAUACAUUACACAAUAAAUAAAUUAUAUAAACCCUAAAAGUGUACAUACAACAAAUGAUAUAAAAGGAACUAUUAAUGUAAUUAUUUAAAAUUUGGAUAACAAUAUCCUUCGUCAGUCAGAUUCUGAUGUUAAAUGAAUCAUCUUUAAGUCUUCUUAGAUUAAACUUUUACUAAAUCUUGAAAUUUAUGCAAUAAAAAAGGCAAACCAACAUUCUUAGACGCUUGCACCAUUCUAAAAAUUUGUGAUAUGACAUAGUUAUAGACUAAUUACAUCAGAGAGUUCAAUAUAUCUUUAAAAAAAUAUAAUGUGCAUGUGAACUAGCACAAUUUAAAGCUUUUAAUGGUGUCGAUAUUGAUGUUACAAGGAAAGAUUGCGUCAAUAAGAAUUCCAAAUAAACAGCACUGAACGUCUAAAUUCUAAAUAUUCAGAUUUGACAAGUGUAGUGUAGUUACAUUAGAGUUCUGCGAUGUUUAAAACAAACGGCCGUUUAAAAUAUAAUAUAAAUUUGACUAAGUAAAAGUGACGUGUCUUGGUACUAUACAUCUCAAAAAAUAAACAAUUAAAUUGUUAAUUCAAAAUUUAAUUUAGAGAUGAGUAAGGUAAAGAAAAAACGGAGACUGUAAUAUAUUAUAUAACCCAGAUGUGAAGCACUGCAUGGUGUGAACUACAUCUUUUCAUUUAUCCAUUUGGUGCAAAGUUGUUAAUUUUCUUAUCCAAACUUUCCGAGUAAGUUAUCCUCCUAGACCAAAGCAUUUGUGGUAAUGACAUAAAUGGUCAAUCGAUUGAGAUCUGUCUAGUGUGACAGGGAUCUCAAAUGUCGACUAAGAGGGGUCUGGCUGCAUUGGUAGUCGUACGAUGACGUUCAUUCGUUGUGAAACGGCUUUCUGACUCGCUACAUACUGUUUACCAAUUUACACUGUAGAAUACACAACUUUUAGUCUUGCAAUUAACAUGCAAAUAUGGUAUUUUACCCAGUGGAGUGACUGUUAAAAGUCUGGGUAUCCAGUAUUUGUUAUAUAUAAAAAUACUGUAAAUAAUAUAUUUGAUAAACCAUCGGACUAUUUUGAGCCAAAAUAAAUGUAGUCUAUGAUAUUGCAUUCAAAAUUAAGACUCAAUGCACUAUAUUGUAUACUUAUUUAAGAUUUCCAGAAAACCAGCGGUUAUUUUUAGUAGUACUUGUUUUCCAAAAGGCAAUUUUUUAUUACCAGACUUUUAACGUGGGUUAUUUAAUGGCAUGUAUAACAUGUAUAAAGGUGCUACAUGAACAAUUCAGUAUACAUCGAUUUCAUAUGAAUUUCAACUCGCGUCUGGCGUACUGAAUUAUAAUCCUGGUACCUUUGAUAACUAAAGAAAAUGUCCUUUACCAUCAGGCGUCAAAGGGAAACUUAAGCUAACGAAUAUGAAUACAAAUGCGUUAGAUUUGUUAUAGUGACAUUGCGUAUAUAUACAGUAUAAUAAUAAUAUUUUUCAAUACAAUGUUUUUACAACCGGCCCAUUCGACCUAUAAGUCACUUAAAAAAAUAUAAAUCAUAAAAUCAUUUCAUAGUAGAGUCCUGAAGUUAUUUACAUAAAUGAAUUAUAUGCGUUUUGUAAAUACUUGAAAAAUAUAUUUAGCUGUUGGAAAAUAAAUUAAAAGUUGUAUUAAUUGUUCACAGUGUGGUAGUUAUAAAAAUGUUUCUGUGCCUGGUAUGGUUGAGUUAAGUUCAUUUUGAAAAUCAUUAUAUAGAUCACAGUUAAUAAGGAAAUGAAUUUCACUUAACAUGGCUAACUUUCGGUUCAAAUUGGUUAUAGUUUUACCGUGAUUUCAAAUAUUAAUCGUUAUUGUUAUUUUGGGGGGAAAUAUAACGUGAUUCUAAAAAAAAAUAUAUUUUUAGAAUCACGUUAUAUUUCCCCCCAACAUAACAAUAUGUUUUUUUUUAAUCUUCUAAAGAAAAGUUUGAAUUCUAUCGUCAUUAACAAAAAUUUCCUUUAACGUCAUUUUGGAAGGAUUUUUACCGUCAUUCGUAAUACAUGUAAUAGAGGAUUCAUAUAUGAAUAUUGCAAAACCUUGUUGAAUAGCUAAGGACUUCAAUUGAAGGUCUGACAGCUAAACUAUUUUCAUGCAAACGACUUUGACUCCGGUUUUAUUUUAUUUUUUUAUUUUUUCGAUACUAGCUACCUCUACGGUAGGUCAUCAUGGUUUUCUGCCAAGUUAGAGCAAUCGAUUGAAGACAUAAGACGGAAAUAUGAAAACAGUCAAAAAAGAAGUUACCGCUGUUUAAAACAAAAAAAUAAUUUCCACACAACUGAUUUGGACAAUUUCACAAACGUACCAAUAUACCGCAACGUGCUUGCGUAUUGAACUAAUGCCAUGAGUUUGCUUUUCAAUGUUUACAUAAUGUGUUUGGUUUGGUCCUCUAUGCUCAUCAUAUUUGUACUUGUUUGGCCAUUUAACUGUUUUGAGCUGAGCGUCACUGAUGAGUCUUAUGUAGACGAAAUUCGCGUCUGGCGUAUAAGACUAUAAUCCUUGUACCUACAUUAGUCAUCUGGCUUAACACAUGAACUUGCGGAAUUUUCUACAAUGAUUUGUUUUACAUGCAGUUUAUGUUAUCUGUAGCUUUUCAUGAUUCAUCUGAAAAUAUGAAUAAGUAUAUUCCUUGUAUAUUCCCAAACUACCUUUUGAAAUAAAAAAAAAGGAAGAUCAAAAAAUUAAUAAACUCCGGGGAAAUAAAAAAAAACUUACACAUAUCAAACGAAUGGAUAACAACUGUCAUAUUCAUGCCUUGGUACAGGCAUUUUUUUAUGUAGAAAACGGUGGUUUUUACCUGGUUUUCAAACUAGCUAAACCUCUCAGUUGUAUGACAGUAACAUCAAAUUUCAUUGUAUUGACAACGAUGUGUGAACAAAAUAGAUAUAAUAAUGUCCUGAAAAUAGUCUUAGCAAAAGGAAGACGGAAAAUACUCGUAUAUAACUAGAAAAUAAACUUUUAGCUUAUUGGUACACAUGGUAUAACACAGUGAUUUGUAUCUAGAUGACACAAAUGUUACGGGAUUAGACUUCAUAUGGCCUUCUGUGAGUAAUUUUGGAAUAGGAGAUAAUAGUAAAGUCAUCCUGAGAUGUAAAGUACGCAGUGAUGCAGAACCUCAUUUCGAGGUACGUCUUACUUAUGUUUUGUUUGAUGAUACAGGAUACGAUAACAAGCCUGAAAAAUAAGAAGUACUAGUAAAGCAACAUUUCAUCAGAUACAAAGAAAGUUAGGAACAAAUUGAAUAAAAAAAAAAAAUUGCAACAAUCUUUAGAUACUUUGUGAAAAUUGAUCAGCUUGAACAGUUUUAGUAUAGAAUUAUGACUGUACAUACCUUGUUAACCAUUAUUCUAAGUAAAUAUAAAAAAGAAGAUGUGGUAUGAUUGCUGAAACGGAAAUAAACAACUAUAGGUCGCAAUACGGCCUUCAACCUUGAGCAAAGCCCAUACCACAUAGUCAGCUAUAAAAGGCCCAGCUAUGACAAUGUUAAACAAUUAAAACGAGAAAACUUGUCUAUAUAAACAAAAUGAUCGAAGAACAAAUAUAUAUCACACAAACAAACGACAACCACUGAAUUACAGACUUCUGACUUGGGACAGGCACAUACAUACAUAAUGUGGCGAGGUUAAACAUGUUAGCGUUAAAGCCUGUAUAGGGAAGGCAAGUCCCUACGACAUUUAUGAAAGUCUUCCUUGUGUAACAAAAAAAAAACGACUUUGCUAUUAUUAGUAUUCAAGAAUGUAAAUAUGUUUUAUCUAUUUUAUAUGCAUUAUAUUCCGUGAAUGUAUAACCUUCCAAUGCGAUAAGUGGGUUAGCUAUGAAACCUUUUUUAAUCAAUGAAAUAUAUUUUUGUAAUAUUAAUAUAAAAUAAACAAAAAUAUGUAUUUCCAAUUAGUAAACAACUCUCAAUAUAAGAUACAAUGUAUAAAAAUGUAUCAAUUAUAGGUCAAAGUACGGCAUUCAACGCUGAUAUUUGACUCACACCUAACAUCAAGCUUUACCGGCAUAAAAUGAGAGCCUGCAAACAUGUUUAAGUCGGACAUGUUCUGUAAUAUUUUUAUAUGUCUGUAGUAUCAAGACCAUAUUUCAGUGGUUAUUUUUUGAUUCUGUGUAACGUAUUUAUUUUCGUUCGUUUUUGGUUGUUCAUUAAUUAACCCGGUUGUCUUCUUAUUGAAAUGUUUUACAUUUAAUAUUUCGGGACAUUUUAUAGCAGACUAUGCGGCAUGGACUUUGUGUAUUGUUUAAGGCCGAACGGUUAUCUAUAGCUGUUAAUUUUUUUAUCAUUUGAUCCUUUUAUUUUUAAAGUUGUUUCAUUGGUAAUCAUACCACAUCUUCUUUUAUAGAGAAGUUUUUUUUUAUCUAUAUAAGAAACGAGAAAUACUUAUGUUUCACAAGUCUUGAUAUAACAGGAUUCUUAAAUUGAAUAAAUAGUUUCAAAAAAAUAAUCGAAAUACGUUGAGGAAAUCUUUGACUUACAAAAUAUUGUGGAUCUUGUGAUGUGUUGAGAUAUUAUUCAACCGGCAAUGUCAUUUUGGUAGAAAUUGGUAAGUAUUGAUAUAUUAUUUAACUGGCAAUAAAACUUUAAGGGGAUUUGGAAUCUAUACUGAAAUUAUUUGUCUGACAGUGACAUGAGAUUUUUGUCUUAACAUGCUUAAUAUUUAUUUUGUCGGUAAUAAGUGGGUGAAGAUAGACAAUUCAACAUUUGCAUACAUAAAAAUAAACGGCACUGAUGAUGGACGAUAUUCUGUCUUAUUAAAAAAACAACCACGGCAUCGAUACCACAGCAAACUUGUAAUACAAAACACACAAGUAUCUGACUCUGGAACUUACAAGUGCCGUGUCAAUGUUAGAUGGUCCGCUGUCAUAGAAAGACAAUAUAGAGUCCAUGUUCAAGGUAAACUUCAAAAGCAUCAAUGGUACUUAUAUACAUAUAUAUUUAUUACUAUGGCAGAUCAAGGAUAACAAAGUGGGAAUUUUGUUUUAUACAUGUGGAGUAAAAUGUUUAUAUGCAUUGACCCCUAUCCAUUAUUUAUUUGCUUCUUUAAAAAGGGAGGUUCUAUAUCUGCCUUUGAGCUUGCAAAUUGUUGAAGCCUAUUCGUUACAUUUCGUGUCUCUAUAAUAACAACUCUCUAGUUUUUUAAUUAAAAUUCAUUUAUGGGUCUCUAUCACAAACAAAAUAUAUCUUACAGUUCUUUUCAAAAGGUUAAGGUCGGUAUUCAAAAGAUAUAAUAUUUAGAAACAAACCUAGACAAAACUGUACAUCUUCCGUAAUCGUUUGACGAUAUAAUUUUCAUAAAUAUUUGAAAUAACUAUGAUUUAUAAAACUAAUUAUAGAUAUGAAUUCACUUGACAAUUCCCCUUGUUAUUCAAUAACUUAUCCACAGGGAGACUUGGGCACCAACUGUAUGGAGAGUGAUUUGUCAAUGCAGCAAAGACAAGUGCAACAGAGAUAUUUCUAGAUGAAAUAUUCAAUCAUACCAAGAAUACUUCCAAUGGAAUAAUGAAAUGAUUUAUAGAAAAUGUCAUUCCCUGGAUGAUUAGAUUAGACAAUGAAUCAAGCAUCAUAGGCAACAUCGAAAAUUGAAAUGUUAGCAAAAGGAGCAUGAAUUCUACCCACAAAAAAAGGAAAAGUGUAAAAAAAAUGUUUCGUAUGUGACUAACGGGCAUACUAAUUUUAGAAGGACGCGAGAUUGUUUUUCGCCAAUCAAAAGAUCGUAGCAUAAUGAAACAUACAUACAAUGUAAUUAUUUACCUAUAAACAUGAUAAAUAUUGAAAACAAUUAUACAAUAUAUAGACAAGUAUGCUUUAUACAUUAUCUUGCACGUAAUAGUUAUCAAUUAAGGCAUGAUGGUCGUACCAAAAGUGACUGUUACCAAAUUUAGGGCUCCGUUGUCUUUAAGAAUUGAAUUUGUUUGGAAAAUGCUGACAAAGAAUCAAUAGACAAUCGAGCUAACAAAUAUUGAAAUGAAUAGGUUAACCACAAUAAAUAUAUGUGUCCCAUAUGCUCUUCCUUCAAUUUCGUACUUUAUUUUGCCUUUUAAACUUUUUGGUAUUUGAGCGUCACUGAUGGGUCUUUUGUAGACAAAACGCGUCUGGCGUAAAUACAAAAUUUUAUCCUGGUAUCUAUGAUGAGUUUAUUGACCGAUACAAAUGUUUCGGAAUCGUCACAAAAGACCUAAAUUUGCUGGGUUCAGGUAUUCAUGAAUUGUCAAUCGUAUUUCUUUUGAGUCCUUGACCAUUCAAAUUUUGUUGGAGAAUUUGUUUAUUUGAAAUUUUGAAAAAUUAUAAAAAUAAAAAAAACAGAUCAAUAUUUUUAAUGGAUUCUAUUUAUCGAUCACACAUACAUGUUUUAGUGUUUUAGUGAUACGUUGUAUGUAUAAUAUAUCUAAAACGAUUUGAUUUUGCCGAUUACUAGUCAGAUGUGUCAACAGUAUGAAUUACAGUCAUGUAAUGUCACUGCAGGUCAAACAUGCAAUAUUGAAGUGUUCUUGUAUAGUAAAAAUGCAGUCAUAUCUUUUUUCAGAAUCUCUAUUGACUCCGAUUAGACUAGAAUCGUAUACAGAGGAAGGCGAAGGAAUCAUUCAAAUUCGACAGUUGAACAAAUGGACUUAUUUUUAUUACUAUGAUUUCAGUGUAGUUAAGGCAUCGUUAGUGUGUCGGUCUCUUGGAUAUCCGUAUGUAUACAAUAUGCUUGAAUUAUUACAACUAACUAAAUUUCUAAUAAAUCUGAGAAUAUGUCAAAGAGACAACAACCCGACCAAAGAACAGAACACAGCCUACAACAUUGUACAACCACCAAUAAGUGUUCAACACAGUGAGAGAAUCUUACAUCCGCAGACAUGCAUCAACUGAACCUUAAAUAAAUUGCAUACUAAUUAGAUAUAAGAAGAUGUGGUAUGAGUGCCAAUGGGCAACUCUCCAUGUCUACAACUAACAUGUUUAACUUCAAGAUCACUUAUAAAGAUGAUGUACUCUCAAUUAAAAACACAAAUUUUACAUAUUGAGUAUUGACCUCCGAGUUUAUUUGAUAUUCCGAAAGUUUAACUUGCUAUAAUUAAUUCCAUGAUGAGGGGUUGACUCUAACAGAAAAGCUGAUAAACAAUAAGUUCAAAAUAGUGAAGUUUAGGUCCCGCGGUUAUCUUAAUGUCUAUCUACGGUAAAGUUGCAAAUUUAUCUAAUUUAAAAAAGAUAGGGUUUGGUCAUACUCUGUGAUCAUGGUCAUAUUUAUAUAAUUUAAUUUUGGAUGUAACGCGUCUUCUGAUUGGCUGACGUUAAUAUAUAUAUAUACAUAUUUUUUACAUAAAUAAGGCCAUUAGUUUUCUCGUUUGAAUUGUUUUACAUUGUCUUAUCGGGGCCUUUUAUAGCUGAUUAUGCGGUAUGGGCUUUGCUCAUUGUUGAAGGCCGUACGGUGACCUAUAGUUGUUAAUGUUUGUGUUAUUUUGGUGGUCUUUUGUGGAUAGUUGUCUCAUUGGCAAUCAUACCACAUCUUCUUUUUUAUAAAUUAUGUUGCAUCCGAACAAUCAAUCUGGUAACAGCGUUUUGUUGUCUCUUACAGUAUUAAGUUUCAAGAUCAAACUUGACGUCGAAUAUAUAUUCUAGGAAAUGAGAUUACGCUUCUAAACAUUUAAAUGCAAUGGUAAAAACAGGGAAUUACUAGUAUUCAAACUACGGCGCCUACGACAGUUUAACAGUCAUAGCUGACUAUGUGGUAUGGGAUUGCUCAUUGUUGAAGGCCGUACAGUGACCUAUAUUUGUAAAUGUCUGUGUCGUUUGAUCUCUUGUGGAGAGUUGUCCCAUGUGAAAUCGUCCACAUUUUCUUUUUUAUACAAUCACGAAAAUUCUGUCUUCUUUCUCUUUGAUGUGAUAUUACACAUGUUACAUAAUGACUUAUACAUGAAUAAUGUUCAACACAACGGUGCCACUUGUUAAGCGGGUUAUUCUUACUUUUCAUUGAGAGCCAGAGACCAUCCCUUCUUUUUGUUUUUGUUUUUUUUUGGGGGGGGGCAAGGGGGUGGUGGGAGUUUGUGUUUCGCAGUCUUUAGUUUUGUAUGUAAAUGUUUAUUUUUUUGGUUGUUUUUCCUGCAAUGGUGAUCCCAGUUUCGUCAUAACUUAAAGUAUUUGUUAUCAAUUUUCUUCUUAUUUCAAACAAGUUAGAAAUAGAAAUUUAUUUUUCUUUACGUAUCCACAAAGUAGUUAUUUGGCAGAACCUUAAAUGUGAAUGUACUCAUAUUGUAGAUUAAGUUAAAUAUUGGUUUUGAUUUAAUCCAUUUAAAUCAAGGACAAAAAUUUAUAUGACCAUCAUGAAAUAUACAUGUUAUCUUUCGUUUUUUUUUCUAUAUUUGAAGUUUCAUGGUUGAUGAUGCGAGUAAAGCAGGGGACGUUUACAACGUCGGCACACACAUAUGUGCACCCUUUUCACUAUAUCUGUAUCCUCAAGAAGCAUUUAUACAACAAGAACACAGAAGUCAAUUUGGGCUGAAAAAAAAAUAAAUUAUCAGAAUUUAUGCUUUUUGAGGCGUCUAUUUUAAUAGUGAAAGAGGGGCGACGAAAGAUAUCAAAGGGACAGUCAAACCAAUAGUUCGAAAAUAAAUUGACAACGAGAUGGGUAAAAAUGAAAACAAACAAAUAAUAGUACACAUGACACAACAUGCUCCACAUGUGGCGGUCAUCGUGUUGUUCAUGUUGUUACAAACCCUGUAAAUAGUCUAAUUCGGUAGGUCACAUUCAUGAAAAGGGAAGGGGUUGUAGUUACGACGUACGGAAAACAUCAGAUAUCAUCUGUGAAAUGGUUUUCCCAAAAAGGUCAAUUAACUCGUGAUGGCGUCCGUAAAAUUUACGAAGGAAUGAUUUCAUCUUCACAUUUGAACUCUUGGUUUAAUAGCUUCCUUGUGUAUUUGUGAGCAUUUGUACGCACGAUAGAUGUUAGAUAUAUUCCUUGCAAUAGCCUUUUCUUUAUACUAAGCGUUAAAUGCAGGUUUGCUGCAAACAAAACACGUAUAAAAGCUGACACACCUUUUUCUUUUGUAGAUAUGGAGGUGUACCACGAAUAACAUAUGAAGAGAGUGGUAUAUUUCGUUAUAAAUUUUGGAGGCACAAGAAAAAUAGAAAUCCAAUGUGUAUAAAUGGAAUUAGUUGUUCACCAAAUGUCACAGAUAUUGGCCAGUGUAACAUGGAGAAACUAUCUAAAUGUUAUCUGGCACAUGUGGUUGGAGUAACUUGUAGGCUUGAACCUGUGAAAAGUAAGUUACAAUAUGUUGAGGAUUGUCGAAAAGUGUAUAAUCAAUAUGUCAGGCCAAAUGAUUGUCUUGUAAACUAACGUAGGCUAAUAACACUCAGCUGCAAAACAUUGUUAAUUCUUUAAAGUAUAAUGGAAUCUCACGAUAUAUUACCAAUGUACAUGAUGUAAAAAUGUCUUAAAAUAUAUUUUACUUUUAUUUCUAUUUUUAUUAUGUUAAACACAUGCUCGAAUAGGAGUGGAAAUAGAAAUAAAGAAGAACAUUUUUUUUUUUAAAUAUUAAAAGGAAUUAUCCAGUUAAUCGCUUUCUAAAACAGUGUUAAAUGCAACAUUAUAACGAUUUCUUUAGUUACAACUAUCAUUAUUUCUAAUUUUCACAUAUAUUUCUGCUUUAUGUUAAUUGCUUGCACUAAGAGAUUCUUUUUCAAGCUUCUACAAAUAUACAUAUUUUGUUUAUUAUACAGAAAUAACAUGUUUUAUUGGUUGUUAUAUUGAAUAUUUUGCACAAAAAGGUAUAUUGAUUUCACCUUUUGGAGACGUAUUCAACAGGAAUGAAACCAGUUAUCAAUAUCCUGUACAAAUUAUCAUUUAUUAAUGCAAUUCCAAAAGAGAUGUUCUAUGAACUCGUUUUCUGUUUUUAAAAAUGUACAAAACGAACCAUCAGACAUGUUAUUUUUACCCUUUCUGUAUUUCAGUUCCAGAUGUACCUGUCCGUUUGAUGAUACCAGGAGAGGAUGUCAAGAAUUUAAGAGAAGGUGUUGUAGAAGUAUUCCUAACUGACCAUUGGGGAUUCGUUUUAGGAAUUGGUCAGUCCGAAGUCAACGCUCUUUGUAAAACACUUGGCUUUCAGUAUGUUAUCUUAAUUAUUAUGCUGUGAACAAAAUAAAAUGGUCACCAUUUAUUUUAAAGAGCAUUUUCUGUAUACCAUUUUAUUGCACCACAUAUCUGAUGAUUACCUAUCAAAAAUAUACGGAUAAUAACAAAGGGAAAAUGUAUUAUUCGAAGACAAAUGAACACCACAAUAGACAAUAAAAAAUUAAUCGAUAGGUGAAUACGUAUAGAAAAAAAAUAUCAACACACACGUCACAGUCCUUAAAGUUUUAUUGAAAAUUUAACAAGAUGCUAAAUUUCCUACACAUUUUUUUCUCAGAUUUUCGGAUUUAACUCCUUUGUUGCUUAGGUUCAUGUUAUGAGGGUUACACUUUAAGGCUUUAAAUAAAACACUCUGUUUAAAUUCGUUCUGGAAUCGAUUUACAAUGGAGCGUCGAAUACAUAAACAUUAUUACAAUAUGAAAAAGAAGAUGUGGCAUGAUUGCUAAUGAAACAACUAUCCACAGAAGACCAAAAUGACACAGACAUUAACAACUAUAGGUCACCGUACGACCUUCAACAAUGAGCAAAGCCCAUACCGCAUAAAAGCUAGCUACACCAUUUUGUAACUAUAAAUGUAAAUGACGUAAUAAAAAUCAAUAAGUGGUCACUUUGCAGGACAUAUAUACAAGCAGUACAUACAUCUACAACUAGGUAUUUCAAAAUAUAUGUUUUGCUAAUCCUUCAAUACUCCUUGUUCAAGGUAUGGUGGUCAGAGUUAUAAAACAACAGAUAUUCUUCAAAGUACUAGUUUUGGUCGUCUUGACAUUACAACAGAAAUUUUACAAAACUUUUCAUGUUCAGAAAAUGCAUCGCAUUUAAAUGAGUGUAGUGAUAUGGAGUGGACAGAACGUUCGUGGUUUGGAUGGGAUAGAUGGAACAUUUUGUCUAUAAGAUGUUGGACAUAUGCAGAAAAAAGUAAGUGGAAAAACAACUUUACAAAACAGUGAAAAUGAAUUUAAAUAAUGAAAGAUGAUGGAAUGUAUAUUUUUAUUUGAGAGCAAUAUGAUCUAAACAAAUGAAAAUAACAUUUAAUAUCAACAUUUUAUUUGAUUGAAUAUUGUGGUGUCUACACGUUUCUUUGGCUAGGUUUUACAUAUCUACGAAGGUAUAAAUUGUUAUUUGCUCAAAAACCAGUACGGGAGAUUAAAAAGAAUGUUUCCCUCGCAUAAAUUUUACAAUGUGCACAUUAACAAUUGCUAAUAGACUGCCAAAAACUAAGUGAUAUUGCAUUUACAAGGACUAAAAUAUGAAAGCUUUUUUUAAUGUGCAGAUGAGUAUUUUAAAGUUUUUAAUUAUGUAAGAAGAUCCAUUAACAAAUACAUACAAAUGAUAUCAUGCACAUUUAAAUCAGAAGAACUUUAUACUUACUAUUACAAUUAUUGUUUAGGGUCAUGUUAGUCAUUUACCAAAUGCUUAACUACAUUGUAGUGGAUAGUGUUACACCAAACGUUUAUUAAUUGUGUAGGUCAAAACAUCCUAAUGCAGAGAUGUAGUGUACCUAACACUUAUAACAAUUAAUGUUAAAAGUACGCAAUGGACGACGAUGUUUUUGAAAAAUGUCAAUGAAUUGAUAGCAUUCGAGUUUGGAUCAAGACAUAUGUGUUUACGUGUUAUAUAUUAGAAAGCAAAUUAAGGCAGGCACUUAGUGCUUUAUUCAUUCGAUUAUACUUUAAUUUAGGCAAUUCAGGAGAGCAAAUAAGACUAGCAGGGUUAAACGAAGAACACGAAGGACGAGUUGAAAUUUUGCAUAACAAUACUUGGGGAACUAUCAAUGAUCGUUGGUUUGGUCAUCCAGGAGCGAAUUUAUUCUGCAAAAUGAUGGGGUAUCAGUAAGUAUUGUGUGAAUGAUAAAGUGGUAUAAAAAAACAACAACUAAAUGGUCUUCUUUUACUGUUGGUAGAAAUCAGAAGAUUACCAAAUUAUAAACAAAUCAAAGCUAUUGACAUUGCAAAUUCUAUUAAAAAAAUCCGAUUCUUUUUUUUCAAAAUUGAAGAACUUAUCAUUUGUCAACUCCGAAAUUGAUAUCAUCAUCCAUGUCAAUAUAGAUGAAAAGCAGCAUGCAAAUAUGAAAGGAUAUUUCUUAUUUAUACAUCGUCUGAUAAACUGCCAUGAAACAGUAAAACUAAUAAUUUACUGCCUUUCUAAGUGUGAAAUAAACCUCGCAUUUCUUGCAAUCGAGGUCACCUUGCUCGGACUGUAUUCAUCAAUAAGCCAAAUAUGAUAUGUAAAUAUAUGUCCUUCGUUAGUUAAGAAAUAUAUGUAUUUGUCGGCUUAUCAUUAGUAUCACCAUGUGUUAUUUAUAUCUGGCAAAUAUACUGCAGGGCAGGAUUAUAAGACUGCAGCUGCAAAUACCAGAGGGACAUUAAAACUCAUAGAUCAAAACAAAAAAGGGCAAACAGACAAAAAAAAGUUCACAAGACACAACAUAGAAAACUAAAGACUAAGCCCCAACAAAAUAUAGGGGUGCUCUAAUGUGCUCCAGAAGGGUAGGCAUUUCCUGCUGCAAAUGUUGCGCCCGUCGUGUUGCCCAUGUUAAUUCAAACCCGGUAAAUGAUCUCUGUCGGGGAAAAUAAUAAACAAAACUUAUACAUGUUAUAAUUCUGUGCUUGGGACACGCGUUUGUAUAACACACUGCUUGUUUGUCAAGUAUAGUUUAACUUAAAUCAACCAUUAUCUAGGUAUGGCGGAGUACCGAUCUAUGAUAAGUACAUUCCCGGACAGGGCCCACUAUGGAUAGACUACAUAGAAUGUCCUUUACUUGCCAAUGAUUUACAGGAUUGUGAGUUUGAUUGGAUAAAUGAGGAGGACACAAUUUCCAAAGGAGGACCAGCAGUUGUUAAAUGCCGGACAGAACCAGUUGAAGGUGUUUACAUUAAUUGCUAUGGUUCAGAUUGUCUUUUUAAUAUUUAGUAGCGAAAAUGAUUUUGAAUUUAGGGAAAAACAACCAAUUUUAUUAACAUUAGAAAGAAAUAUAUCAAUUAAAAUGUAAAAUAUGUAUAAAUAAAGACAACAGUAGUAUAUCGCUGUUCAUAAAUCGAUUGCAAGCAAACAAAUCUGGGUUACACACUAAAAUUAUAAGAGGGAAACAGCGAAACAACAGAAUACUUAAGUGCAACAAAAAUCAAACAACAACACAACAUACAUAAAAACUAACUAUUAGAUAUUUUAACAUUUUUCCUUAAGAAUAAAAUUGGUAAUAGUUCGAGCACGUUCAUGUGCAUGGCAAUUAAACCUGUGAAAUCAAUACCUCUGGACACAGUACUAGUGCAAGUGAUAUCUGAUACAAAUUUUUUGUUUUUGUUUCUAGAACAUGUAGAAACUAUGUUUUUUUUUCGAAAACCAAGGUUUUUUCCUGCAAAUAGGAUGACAAGACAAAUGCAAUGUUUAAUUAUAUAUAUUUUAAAAAAAAAUCAGAUAAAGUAUUUUUUUGUUUAUUUUCAGAGUGUUAAAUUGCAUCAACCAGUUUGAUUUCUUUUACAAUAUCAUUAUUAUUGAAGAUCUAAUAAUUAUAUUAAAUGUUUUAAAUAUUGCAAUUAUUCCAUCGAGUCUUAAAAAUUUUGAAAACACUACAUUACAAUGUUCAAUUUUGGAGACAAGAUAUAUGUGUAUAAGAAUAUUUUUCCUAAUGUUGGUUUAAACCAAAAAGCACGGUAUACUUAUUGCUUUAAAUAUGUAUUGCAUGUUGAGCUAGUAUUAGGAAUAGAUUAUCUUACCAUCGAUUAUCUACGCUGUUCAUUCGAUAUAGACGGCAACAUGACUUCACGAUUGUCACAUAUUUUAGUUUGUGUCAAUAUCGAAUGAAAGAUAGAAAAAUCAAGCAUUCUAUAAAUAUUUGGUAGCUCACAUUUUUAUCUCAAGCUAGGUGCGCAUCGCUAUAUCCUGAAGGCACAGUAAAGAAUUUUCAUUCUUAAAAAUAUAUUAUUCCAUAAAAAGGCUUCGAACGAUUGUUUGCAUUAUAUGAGAACACAGUCACAUAAAUCGGUAUGUUAACAUAUCAAUCAACCGAACUAAAACUCAGCUUAUAUUGAUGAUAAUAAUUAACCUUGGAAAGUGCUCUUAAGUACGUGUGUUUUGUUUCAAUUUUCUAAAGAUACAAAGAGUCGUGAAUAUCAACGACAUGUAUGGUUUGAUCAAUGUUUUGAAUUACAGUCCCAGAAGUGAAGUUUAGACUAGAGGCAGGAUGGAAUAAAGAUAUACUUGAGUACUUUAAAGAUGGGUACUGGGGAUAUGUAUGCGGGGCAUACAUGGGUACCUCUGAGGCAUCGAUGUUCUGUCACAUGUUAGGUUUUACGUAAGUAAUGAUUUUUCAAAGACAGAUUGUGGUAUGAUGCUGGCAUGCCAGUAACUGAAAGUAGUAGUCCUUUGUUAGUGUAUGUAUCCUUGUCGUUUUGCUUAAUUUCUUGUGUUACUUAUUCUGACAUCGGAAUAAGACUUCUUUUGAACUGAGUUUUACGUAUUGCUGUGUGUUUCCUUACAUUGGCCUAAGACAUAUGGGGAGGGUUGAGAGCUGACAAAACGUGUAUAUAUUCCAAACUGCUCAAUUGUGUGUAUGGUCUUGAAUUGAAAUACAGUAUUAACCAUAUGUCUAUUAAUACAGCCAGACAAUGACAGAAUAGUAAGUAAGAUAGCAAUAUGACAUAUGCAUACAAGAUGCAUGACAUGCAAUGAAACUAAAUAUUGUUUGCACAUUAUGAAGACAAUUUUACACAUUCAUAAUCAAAACAAUGACUUAUCAGACAACUUAUAAUUCUCUUUACGUGACGUGAAAUAUGAAAAACCUUUAUACCUUUUUAUAGGGGUGUCAUAGACCUGUAAAGUGCUAUCUGGUAAAUGAAGACAUAAAAAAGCCAAAGUAAUGGAAUAACUACUUACAAUAAGGAGCUUUUAUAAAACUAAACAGACACAUUAUGAAGCUAACACAUGCACAAAAAUAGAAAUUUAAGUCUAAAAAUAUGGAAUGUGCUAAGAGCAGUACUGUAAGCGUAAUCAUUGUAGUUUUUAAAUUUCUUUUUUCAUUAUUUCAUUAUUUCAUGUUUCUUAUUUGAUUGCUUUCUUUUUUGAAUCAGUCAUGGUGGACAUAUUAUUAUUGAUACGGAUAAUGGAAGAGACGGAGAGAAUUAUCAUAAGAAAGAUAUUGCACCAACAGUUCUAAAAAACAUAGAAUGUCCAUGGAAUUCAGUAGACCUCGAUCAGUGUUUAGAACGAAAAUGGAGUUACAAAGAUAAUAGAAUAAUUUGCGACUCGCACAAGCGAGAUUUAAGACUAAAGUGUAGGUCAAAACCUUUUCCAGGUAAUCAAAGUCUUUUUUUUUAAGUUUUUUUUUUAAAUUUUUUGAUGUAUUAAUUGAUUCAUAGAAGUUUUGCUCAUUAUUGAACAUGUUGAAGGCCGAGUGGUAAAAAGUGAAAUCACAAAAAAUACUGAACUGCGAGCAAAAAUAAAAAGGAAAGUCCUUUAUCAAAACACAAAACUGGAUGCUACGUAUAUUGUAUGUAAUAUCAGUAGUAAAUUAAGUAUGAUCUUAAACGGUCAGUUGAUUCUAACAUCAUCUGAAUUGCCUACAACAACAAACG